CCCUUAGAUGCUCUGGGCCGCACGCGCGCUACACUGGUCGAUGCAACGAGUUUCUUUCCUUGGCCGACAGGCCUGGGCAAUCUUUGAACAUCGAUCGUGAUCGGGAUAGAUUCUUGUAAUUUUUGAUCUUAAACGAGGAAUUCCUAGUAAACGCAAGUCAUCAGCUUGCAUUGAUUACGUCCCUGCCCUUUGUACACACCGCCCGUCGCACCUACCGAUUGGAUGGUCCGGUGAAGCCUCGGGAUUGUGGUUCUUGCCGCUUUAUUGUGGCGUGACCGCGAGAACUUGUCUAAACCUUAUCAUCUAGAGGAAGGUGAAGUCGUAACA
rnacentral:rRNA from 1 species